UUCCAGGUGACUCAGUGGUAAAGAAUCUGCUUGCAAAUGCAGGAGACCCAGGUUCGAUCCCUGGGUUGGGAA
rnacentral:tRNA from 1 species